rnacentral:rRNA from 1 species
AGAGCGAACGCUGGCGGCAGGCUUAACACAUGCAAGUCGAGCGCCCCGCAAGGGGAGCGGCAGACGGGAGAGUAACACGUGGGAACGUACCCUUUGGUUCGGAACAACCCAGGGAAACUUGGGCUAGUACCGGAUAAGUCCGUAAGGAGAAAGAUUUAUCGCCAAUGGAUCGGCCCGCGUCUGAUUAGCUAGUUGGUGAGGUAAUGGCUCACCAAGGCGACGAUCAGUAGCUGGUCUGAGAGGAUGAUCAGCCUCACUGGGACUGAGACACGGCCCAGACUCCUACGGGAGGCAGCAGUGGGGAAUAUUGGACAAUGGGCGCAAGCCUGAUCCAGCCAUGCCGCGUGGGUGAUGAAGGCCCUAGGGUUGUAAAGCCCUUUCGGCGGGGAAGAUAAUGACGGUACCCGCAGAAGAAGCCCGGCUAACUCGUGCCAGCAGCCGC